rnacentral:tRNA from 1 species
CACUAAGAAGCUAGACAGCAUUAGCCUUUUAAGCUAAAGAGGGGACAAAUAGGUCUCCUUAGUGG